GAAGUUUUCAGAGAUGAGAAUGUGCCUUCGGGAACCGUGAGACAGGUGCUGCAUGGCUGUCGUCAGCUCGUGUUGUGAAAUGUUGGGUUAAGUCCCGCAACGAGCGCAACCCUUAUCCUUUGUUGCCAGCGGUCCGGCCGGGAACUCAAAGGAGACUGCCAGUGAUAAACUGGAGGAAGGUGGGGAUGACGUCAAGUCAUCAUGGCCCUUACGACCAGGGCUACACACGUGCUACAAUGGCGCAUACAAAGAGAAGCGACCUCGCGAGAGCAAGCGGACCUCAUAAAGUGCGUCGUAGUCCGGAUUGGAGUCUGCAACUCGACUCCAUGAAGUCGGAAUCGCUAGUAAUCGUGGAUCAGAAUGCCACGGUGAAUACGUUCCCGGGCCUUGUACACACCGCCCGUCACACCAUGGGAGUGGGUUGCAAAAGAAGUAGGUAGCUUAACCUUCGGGAGGGCGCUUACCACUUUGUGAUUCAUGACUGGGGUGAAGUCGUAACAAGGUAACC
rnacentral:rRNA from 1 species